rnacentral:rRNA from 1 species
AUUGAACGCUGGCGGAAUGCUUUACACAUGCAAGUCGAACGGUAGAGGGGGCAACCCCUCGAGAGUGGCGAACGGGUGAGUAAUAUAUCGGAACGUGCCCAGUCGUGGGGGAUAACGAGUCGAAAGAUUCGCUAAUACCGCAUACGCCCUACGGGGGAAAGCUGGGGACCUUCGGGCCUGGCGUUAAUGGAGCGGCCGAUAUCUGAUUAGCUAGUUGGUGAGGUAAAGGCUCACAAAGGCGACGAUCAGUAGCUGGUCUGAGAGGACGACCAGCAACACUGGAACUGAGACACGGUCCAGACUCCUACGGGAGGCAGCAGUGGGGAAUUUUGGACAAUGGGCGCAAGCCUGAUCCAGCCAUUCCGCGUGAGUGAAGAAGGCCCUCGGGUUGUAAAGCUCUUUCGCAAGGGAAGAAAACUUAGCCACUAACAUUGGUUGAGGUUGACGGUACCUUGAUAAGAAGCACCGGCUAACUACGUGCCAGCCGCCGCCGUAA